ACCCCACACUCGAAGAGGAUCCCGAACCACUGUCCCUAACGACCCCUACCUUUUCCUUCCUCCUCCCUUUACUCCUCCCAGAAUCAACAGCAUUAACAUUUCCAUUUCCAUUGCCAUCAUCUCUUCCAUGUACGAGAAUAUUCCGGUGGACUUUUUCAACAGUUUUCUCGGAUUUCACUCUAUUCAAGAGAAAAUUCCAAAUGGGUAUCAUAUUACCACGGCAAAUCUUGCGAA
rnacentral:misc_RNA from 1 species